rnacentral:rRNA from 1 species
UACAGAGGAUGCAAGCGUUAUCCGGAAUGAUUGGGCGUAAAGCGUCUGUAGGUGGCUUUUUAAGUCCGCCGUCAAAUCCCAGGGCUCAACUCUGGACAGGCGGUGGAAACUACCAAGCUGGAGUACGGUAGGGGCAGAGGGAAUUUCCGGUGGAGCGGUGAAAUGCGCAGAUAUCGGGAAGAACACCCGUGGCGAAGGCGGCUCUCUGGGACGGUACUGACGCUGAGACGCGAAAGCGUGGGGAGCGAACAGG